rnacentral:rRNA from 1 species
UGGGGAAUUUUGGACAAUGGGCGCAAGCCUGAUCCAGCCAUGCCGCGUGAGUGACGAAGGUCUUCGGAUUGUAAAGCUCUUUUGGCGGGGACGAUAAUGACGGUACCCGCAGAAUAAGCCCCGGCUAACUUCGUGCCAGCAGCCGCGGUAAUACGAAGGGGGCUAGCGUUGUUCGGAAUUACUGGGCGUAAAGCGCACGUAGGCGGACUGAUAAGUCAGGGGUGAAAUCCCGGGGCUCAACCUCGGAACUGCCUCUGAUACUGCGGAUCUCGAGUCCGGAAGAGGUGAGUGGAAUUCCUAGUGUAGAGGUGAAAUUCGUAGAUAUUAGGAAGAACACCAGUGGCGAAGGCGGCUCACUGGUCCGGUACUGACGCUGAGGUGCGAAAGCGUGGGGAGCAAACAGGAUUAGAUACCCCAGUAGUCCCUGAGCGGGCUGGCAAGGCGCAU